rnacentral:misc_RNA from 1 species
UCUGCCCAAUUUCGCACGUGCCUGUGGUCGUGUGUCAGUCGGUAGGUAUCCGGACAAGAGGCCGGACAGCCGCCAAGGGAUGAGGAACCGAGGGGCGCUCGGAUCGUUGCGAUCAAGAUCAGUUCGAUCGAGAUCGUCAUGCUCCAGGAGCCCAGCAUCUCUCUCAAGAGAUGCCGCUGAAGGUCACCUCGUCUUUUGCAACCGUGACUGGCAGCCGGAGGCGAACCGGCGCACCCCGCUCUCAACGGGGGACGCGACUUAAAGCAACGACGGAUCGGGCUUUUUUGGUCUCUACCGGCAGUCCAACGCCGGCGCGGGCUACUGAAAAGGCUUGUCCUUCAUUGCCAG